rnacentral:rRNA from 1 species
AACGAACGCUGGCGGCAUGCCUAACACAUGCAAGUCGAACGAGACCUUCGGGUCUAGUGGCGCACGGGUGCGUAACGCGUGGGAACCUGCCCUUAGGUUCGGAAUAACUCCCCGAAAGGGGUGCUAAUACCGGAUAAUGUCUUCGGACCAAAGAUUUAUCGCCUUUGGAUGGGCCCGCGUUGGAUUAGCUAGUUGGUAGGGUAAAAGCCUACCAAGGCGAAGAUCCAUAGCUGGUCUGAGAGGAUGAUCAGCCACACUGGGACUGAGACACGGCCCAGACUCCUACGGGAGGAAGCAGUGGGGAAUAUUGGACAAUGGGCGAAAGACUGAUCCAGCAAUGCCGCGUGAGUGAUGAAGGCCUUAGGGUUGUAAAGCUCUUUUACCCGGGAUGAUAAUGACAGUACCGGGAGAAUAAGCUCCGGCUAACUCCGUG